rnacentral:lncRNA from 1 species
UCUAAUUAAUUAAUAUGUGUUUACCCUACACUAGGAUCUAAAUAUGAUAUACAGCAUGCAUGCAUUUAAAUUUGAAAUUCAAAUUUGAAUAGUAAACAAUUUACUGUGUUGUAUUCAAAACACAAUAUCUUUGUGCGGGUAGUCGAUCACCGCAAUCUGAUCAUCGUCAGGAGGAUCUGAUCAUCGCAAUGGAGCCACACAGUGUGUCUGGCCUCUACAGAUCAUCCACAUCAAGCUCCCAGUC